UCACGGACUUUCGAUCGCAUCCUAGGGGUGUUGUAACCACAUAUAGUGUUAAAUAUAUUUUUAUGUGUAGUUAAUUAUUCAUAUUUGUCUUCAAAUGUGUGAAUUAUGAGCUUCGCUUGUGCUAGGGCGCUAGUAUGCUAGCGCUAGCAGGCUAACGUCAUUAAACGGCCAGUCUCGGAGUUGCGUUAGUAGUGUAAUGUGGUUCACACGGUAAAUAAGGGAUAUUUUGUGAAGUGUUUUUGGUUUAGCUAGAUUUGGCUCAUACCCACAGGGAAAUACAAUGUUUGAAACAAAUAACUUAAGUGCACCGGUACUCAUUUUAGCUUUAAACCAAGUUCAGCUUGGCUGAUUUAACAUAAACUGAAGACCCGCUGAAGCCACACAAUCCACUUAGUUUGGUUUAAUGCCCGCGUAUUCUCCAGUAAACUGGCUUUGGUAACGCAGUGUUGUGUGACUUGCACAAGCUUCCGUAGGACAAAUGCUGCGCAUGCUCAGAAGUUCAGUCCAUGAACGAGAAACGUCGGCGAGGAUCGCGAGGCAGGUGAAAAGCGGGCGAAUCUUGAUCCAUCCGAGGUGUCUCUGUCAGUAAGAACAGUCCUGCAAUUGUAGGCUGGGUGGUGUACCUUUUUUGGCUCUUGUGUACCAUGAAUGUGGAAGUGUAAAGACUGUGAUGCAGAAGAAAGUAAAAGUAGUUAAUUAUUU